ensembl:lncRNA
GGAUGGUCAGCGAAUUUGCCAAUCUUGCUUUGGUAAAUGUCCUGAGGCAUGAAUGUUAAUGAGGUUACGUGAUCAAACGCUCGAAGCAGUCAAGCUAGCAAGCAAGGAAAAAAAGUUACUAAAGUACAUGACGUAUGUGUGAUGCUGGCUCAGGGAAAAUGUCAUCUUGCAGCAUCGUGAGGGUCCAGUGUCUCAGCCAUUUGCUUUGAUCAGUGCGAGGCGAAGGUCUUGGACUGUAAACUGCAUGAGCACCCGUCCAAAUAAGACACAAAGGCCUCAAAACACAACCAUAGCGACAGACAGAGAUCCAGCACAGAGCUUUUAA